rnacentral:lncRNA from 1 species
GUUAUUUGUUAUUCAUCCACCAUGUUCAAUCAGUAAAAUGAUGGAACGAGCCUCCUGCUUUAUGUGGUGGCUUGUGAUUGGUAAUCAUCGAAAUGCAUCUAUUCUCUGUUCUUACCUCUCUAAUGCAUCGACUCUUGAGUAGGAAAUUAUACACUGGACACUGGAAAGAUACUGAAGUCAAGUGGUGAUGUAGAGGGAGGUGGGGGUGUGAACAAAUGUUAGUAAGCUUGAUUGUAAAUUGAAGAGAAAGGAAGUGUGAGGCAAAUUUAUGUAGCUAUUAAUUCUGAUUCUCAUCAUCAUAUUUCCAAUCUUUAAUUGCCUUCUUCAUCCUAUUCUGAACUUGCUUUGAUGCAAAUGGUUUUCUUUAUCGGAGUUGAUGGAAAUUGGAAAUUCAUAUGCAUCUUGAAGAGGGAAGAGCAAGGCAACACACACACACACAUUCUUCCAACGAAUAGUAUUCAUCUUGGUGCUGAGGCCGGAACCGUGAAGGUUGGGAGGGGAUUUUGCACCCAUCGAGGCUGAGGCCGGCGCUAUUUUCAAGAGUCUAGCUAGUGAAUUCAGACGCUGGCACCAUUCUAAGAGUAUGAUUAAUGAAUUCUGACAGUUUGAUCAGAGCAAGGAUAACAUCAAGUUAGAUGGUUGAAGGAUCUUCAUGCUAGUGGAUGAUCGCAACCACCUAUAAACAGUGUAAUCGGUUCAAUUAACACUGAAAAAGAUGUCCACCCAUAAACAGGUCCAUUAUUUAAAACAAAAAUCCAAUUAUAAUAUGGAAUUUGAGAGGGGGGAAAUGCACACACAGCACAAGACUCUGAUACGUUGCUACCAAGGUUGUCAACAGACAUGCCGUCAUUCAUAAUUUGUUUGUGGUAUGCAAGCCAGCUGGGGACAAUCUUGGAGGAGCAUGAUGACUAUUUCAUUAUUCAAUCCAGCACUUCUCUCUCAAAUCUACCACAAAACAUAAAGGAAGGAAAAAAUAAGGGGGAGCUGUUUCUGGUUGUAAGCAAAAUGGACAUAAAAGCUUUCAUGUGAAAGGAUUUGUACGGUAUCAAACAUUAAAAUAUCUUAAAAUAUCAAAAAUAUAUUAAUUUAAAAUAAAUAUUUUUUUUUAUGGGUUAACUCAAGAUUAGUUACCAUGUAAGUAAAUAGCUACCAUGCCGGGAAGACAAAUGCUGUCUAUUCCAUAAAUUUAUAAUCUUGAAAUAAUUUGUCAGUUUAACGAUAUAAAACAUACAUAUUAAAUCCGGAUUUUUUUUUGUGGGUUAACUCAAGAUUAGUUAAUCUGGUUGUUGAAUUAAUCCGAGUAAUGUAAAAAAGUUGGGAUAUAAGUAAAAACCUAGCAAAACCCGGUUGACCUGUGACUCAAAUAACCCGAUAAAACCUAAUUGAGAUUUUUUUUUUCAAAUGUGUUUUUUCUCCAAGAGCCUCUUUAUAUAUAUAUAUAUAUAUAUAUAUAUAUAUAUAUUUUAAUUGGUUAUUAAAUUUUUUUAAAGUUCACUAUAUAAAUACUAGAAGAAUAUUUUAUUUUUUUAAUGUGAAAUUUAAAGUCUUUUAGUAUUAUAUUUUAUGUUCACAAGAAAAAAAAAAUUUCAUUGUGGAAUUUGAAACCUUUUAGUAUAUAUAUAUAUAUAGUCUAUUCUCAUAAGAAAAAAGUUAUGCUUUUUUAAUGUGACAUAAAAAACUUUUUUAUUUGAAUACUUCAACUUAAAAGGAUAACAUACUAAUAUAAUAUCUUUUUAAUGUGGGAUAAAAAAUCUUUUGAAAUAAUAUUUUAAAUUUCAUUAUUUAUAACAUAUAUAGCCUAUAUUCACAUGUAUUCUUUCUUAAUUUUUUCAUAUGAAAUAUUACAACUUCAAAUAUUAUUUUAAAUUUUUUCAGGUUGAUCCAGAUCAACCCGUGUAACUCGAAACCCGACUAAACUUCUGAAACCGGUCUAAUAACCCUGAUAUAAAGUGUUGCAAGUUUAUAAACUUCAUGACGUCAAUUAUAAUUUCUAGAAGAAGCAAAGCAAAAAAAAAAAAAAAAGCAAAUAUAAUCAUGUAAAUAAUUUAAUAUUUUUUGUUUAUUUUUUUUAUAUAUCAACUUGAAGAUAUAAAGGGUUAUAAACCUAUAAUUGUAAUUUCCAAAACAAGAAAAAAAAAGGCGCAAACUAUAGGAAACUGAUUGUAAUUAACCUUAAAUUUAUUUAUAUCAUUUUUAAUCUUUUUAUUACAAUCCAAUUAUUAUGAAUAUUCUAGACUUCCCCUCUCACAGAGUACUUAAUUAGUACAAGAUUACAAAUUGAAAUCCUUACGAAGUACAGCUGAAGCAAGCAAUAACAACAACCAAGAAGGUUUAUCAUAUUAAUCCUCAUUAAAAGGGAUCAAUCAUACGAUUAACUGAUACUACUAAUCAUCUGCCAUUUUGAUUGAAGGGUCUUGAUAAGAUCAUCCAGAGCUUUAACAGAAGAUCCUUUGUCUUCUCCUUCAUCUCUCACUGAUGCCCUUAACUGUUCUUUAAUCACCAUUGCCUUGCUCCUCAUAUCACCUCCCUUCCCUUUCUUGUCCAUCACCAACUCUAUCACAUUCUUCACCACCUUCCAAUCUAUGCUGCUCUGCACUCCUCUUGUCAGCUCCACACUCACACCCAUCUCCUCUACCAGCAUUUUGGAAUUAUAGGCCUGUUCAGCGGCCAAAGGCCAUCCUAUAAUUGGCACAGCUUGGCUCAAGCUUUCCAACACUGAAUUCCACCCACAGUGGCUUAGGAAUGCUCCUGUGGACUUGUGUGACAAAAUCUCCAAUUGGGGCGCCCAGUUCCUCACCAACAAACCUUGUUUUCUUUUCUCCAUUCUUUCUUCAAAUCCUUCUGGUAAGUAUUCUGCUCUAAAUUCACUUUUUCUUUCAAAACCAACAGGAGGCCUGAUGACCCAGAUGAAAGGUUUCGCACUCUCUUCCAAGCCAAUAGCUAACUCCAUCAUCUGGGAGGGACUUAUGCUGUUUUGAGAACCAAAAGAAAUAUAGAGCACCGAAGCUGGACUGUGCGAUUCAAGCCAUUCCAUGCAUUUCUCAAUAGAAAUCUCUAGUCUUUUACCAGAACGUCUUGUGCUUAUACCUGAUGCAGCUACAGAUAAAGAAGAAUAAUCAUUCUUGAGCACAAUUGGUGGCAGAAGAGGCCCUAUAGCCCAGACAGGAAGUUUGACAAAGUUCCUCAACCAUUCCAAUCCUGCAGGCUCAAAUUCCUCAGCUGUAUUGCACAACCACCCAAAAGAUUGCAUUGAAAGUGAGAUCUGUGACUGAAAAAACUGAGACCUAGAAUCAGUGCCAUCAGCAUUUCUUAAGAAAUGAUGCAACUGAUUGAUGUGAAAGCGACAGCUAUCAGGAAAUCCCGGCAAAUGAAACUCAUCAGAAUCACUUCUACCUCGAUGAGGAAGAUUGAGCCAAAGAGAAGAGUAAGCCAAGGUUCCAUAAGCACCACCUGUAGAGAAAGUGACAUUCACAGUCCCCAGACUGGUGGCAACUUCAGUUGCCCAUCCAAGGAAAACAUCCGAUAUUAUACAAAGUGGGGGGUGACCUUGUUUAGCUGCAAUAUCAGAUACAAGGCUGUGAAACGGUGUCCUAAGACUUAGUGAUGCAGAGCAAAGUUUGCCAAUCGAAUCCAGAGACAAGUUCUCGGAGUUUUCAGUGUUUGGAGGCAAGCCAUAAUCAGUACUGCAAAAAGGUAGCUCAAGGAGGUGGAUAUGGUCAUUUUCUGGUUCAUCGGGCGAGGAGUUGAAGGUGGAAGAAAGGUACUGGAUGUUGAGAGGGGUGCUUGCAAUGGAUAUUUUGAAACCAGUUGCUUGAUGGAUUUGCCUUGCAAGAGCAAGAAAAGGUAUGAGAUGGCCAUGCGCCAUAAACGGGAGCAUCACUAUCUGUUCAAUAGAUUUAGACGCCAUUAAUAAUUUUGUCGAGGUUUGUGCUCAAACUGAAUUUGGCUCAAGAACUGGAUCUACACUGAGAUGGGAGAAGAGUGCUGGCCUCCUUACACACAUUCUUCCAACGAAUAGUAUUCAUCUUGGUGCUGAGGCCGGAACCGUGAAGGUUGGGAGGGGAUUUUGCACCCAUCGAGGCUGAGGCCGGCGCUAUUUUCAAGAGUCUAGCUAGUGAAUUCAGACGCUGGCACCAUUCUAAGAGUAUGAUUAAUGAAUUCUGACAGUUUGAUCAGAGCAAGGAUAACAUCAAGUUAGAUGGUUGAAGGAUCUUCAUGCUAGUAGAUGAUCGCAGCCACCUAUGAACAGUGUAAUCGGUUCAAUUAACACUGAAAAAGAUGUCCACCCAUAAACAGGUCCAUUAUUUAAAACAAAAAUCCAAUUAUAAUAUGGAAUUUGAGAGGGGGGAAAUGCACACACAGCACAAGACUCUGAUACGUUGCUACCAAGGUUGUCAACAGACAUGCCGUCAUUCAUAAUUUGUUUGUGGUAUGCAAGCCAGCUGGGGACAAUCUUGGAGGAGCAUGAUGACUGUUUCAUUAUUAUAAAUUUGUAAUAGCUCCUGUCUGUUAAAUAGAUUGAGGUUAUAUUUUUUAAAAAAAAAAUUAUAAUAAAAUUGUUUUGAAAUUUUAUUUUUUAAAAAUUAAUAAUUUUAACUGGAUUGUUGCAAACUUAGGUUGAUUUAGUCGUGAAUUUCAAGUUAAUUUUUUUUUAUUUUGAUAAUUGUAUGUAUUUAGACUAAUUUAUAUAUAUUUCGAUUAAUUUCUUGAUUAUGUAAGUUUUUAUUAAUUCUAAAAUUUAUAAAGUUUAAACUAUUAAUUUUUAAAAAACAAUCUUAAAAUUUAAUUAUUUGAGCUAGAUUUCUUACAGUUGUUUUUGCCAUUUCUACCCAGCACUUCAAGUUAAAAGGACCUAAAGGUGUCCAAUGCUGGGCUGUUAAAAGGACAUAAAAGCUGUCCAAUGCCUGAACCAGUUCAUGUAAAAAUGCUAAGAUGAAAGGACUUGGGGCAGUGUCAGCAAAUGAAGCUGCCUGCAAUAGCGUGUCCGUGUGGGCCGAUAUGGUUGCUUUCUCAUUUUAAAGGUGUGUUUGGUAUUAUUAUAAUUUGAAAAAUAUUGUUUUAUAAAAUGUGUUUUUAAUUGUGGUUGAUUUAUUAUUUAUGUGUAUUUAGUUACAACUGUGGUUGAAAUUGAGAUUGAAUAAAAAAUAGUUUAAUGUAUUUGGUUAAAAAAAUACUUUUCAAAUUGAGAUUAUAUAUAUAUAUAUAUAUAUAUAUAUAUAUAUAUAUAUAUAUAUAUAUAUAUAUUGAUGGUUUUAAAUUUAACUAUUGUAGAUUUAACUACUGCUAUUACAUCAUGAAAUAAAUAAUACUUAUAAAAUAUUUUUUAUUAUUCCAUUAAAUUAUUUAUAAUUUCAUCACGUACGAAAUUCAUCCGAUAAGGACUACAGUUUUCUUAGUUUCUUAAGCGCGCAACAACUUCAGGUAAAAUAUUAUCUGGAACAAAAUUGAGAUUGCGAUCAAAUUCUGCUAAUGCUACGUUAUUAAGCAAUCUCCUUCUAAUUUUUUAAAUAAAAAACAAUUAAAAAUAAAAAUAAAAUUGAAUUUUUUAAACUAGGUCGAACCCGGUUCAAUGCAUUUAACUUUGGACAAGACCCGGUCCGGCCGGAACAGUGGAGAGUAACUCCACUGUUCACGUGAACAAUGGAGUCACUCUCCACUGUGUCCGCAGGUUUUAUUUAAAUUUAAGUGAAUAGUAAACUGUGGUUUUGCAUUACCAAACAACAAACAUCUACGGUUUGCUUUAAAAGCUGUCGUAGCCGCGUAAAUAAACAGACACUCAAUUCCAUAAAUUUUAAUUUGUUGUUAUUUUAUUUUAUUUUAGAAAUUACAUUUUAUGAAUCAAUUUAGUUUUUAAACUCAGGAUAAAAACUCUCAUGUAUAAUAUAUCAAAAACAUCAAUGUUAUAAUUUUUCUCGUCAAUUUUGAUUUCUAAACAAUAGAGGUAGCAAUAGAAGAAGUCCAUGCUAUUGGUCUUAGGGUUUCUAGCAUUUGUUAAGUUACAAGAUUUGUGCACAACCGGAUCAAGAAAUUAGGUUUUGGAACGUAAUCUGUAUGUGUGUAAGAGAGAGAUCAGAGAAAAUGACUAUCUCCCACUAUUUGAAACAAAAGCAUCAAGAGCAAGGUUUUUUGUUCAUUUUUCUUAACGAGACUUCAUUUUCUGCUACUUUUUUCUUCGUAUGCUUAUGUUAUAGUUAUCAAACCCUACCACUUAUUGACCUGAAUUAAUUUGAAAAAAUAAAUAAAAAAAUAUAUUUGAAGUUUUAAUAUUUUAUAUGAAAAAAUUAAAAAUAAUUCAUGUAAAUAUAAGCUAUACAUACUAUAAAUAAUAAAGUUUAAAAAAUUAUUUCUAAAGGAUUUGUAUCUCACAUUCAAAAGAUACUAUUUUAGUAUGUUAUCUUUUCAACUUGAAAUAUUUAAAUCAAAAAUAUUUUUUAUUCUACAUUAAAAAAUUUAAAGCAAAAAUAUUUUUUAUUCUACAUUGAAAAAACAUAAUUUUUUUCUUAUGAAUAUAAAGUAUAUAUAUUAAAGGGCUUCAAAUCCGACACUAAAAAAAUAAAAUAUUUUUCUAAUAUUUAGAUAAUGAACUUUUAAAAGAGUUAACCAACUAAAAUAUAUAUAUAUAUAUAUGGGAUUUUUGGCUAGGAGAAAAAACACAUUUGAAAAAAAAACUAGAUUUCAACCAGGUUUUGCCGGGUCGCCCGGGUCACGGGUCAAUCCUAUAGGCCAACUGGGUUUUGCCGAGUUUUUGCUUAUCCCGGUCUUUUACCUUACCUGGACUAGUCUAGCUAUCGGGUCGAGCAGAUCUCAGACCAACUCGCUAGGCCGGUCUAAUUUUAAUAACUAUGGUUUAUACCGUUGUAUUGGAUCUAUAGUGGUGUUGGGCUAAAACUAAUGAUUUUGUGAUCUAUGCUUUCUCCCUUUUAGGCUUGCUGGAGAUUGAAAAGUAAAAAAAUAAAAAUAAUGGUUUCAAUUAUUUCAUGUGAACUUGCUGGAGAUUGAGAAAAUGGAGGAAGAAGAACUUAUCCAUGGUGUCUAUGGUUUUUGUUUAGUUGAAUGGAAACUUUAUAAUAUUAAUAUUGCGAGGCUUUUCAUUAAAUGAAAUGUGAUAACACUUUUAUAAAUAAUUCAAUAUUUUUUGUUGAUUUUUUUUUAUAUGUCAUUGUAAGGAUGUAAAGAGUUGUAAAAUUAUAAACUUUAUGACGUAAAAUAUAAUUUUUAGAAGAAGCAAAAUGAAGAAAAUGAGCAAAUAUAAUCCUGUAAAUAAUCCAACAUUUUUAUUUUUUAUUUUUUUAUAUGUGCCAGCUUGAAAUUAUUUUUGCUCCAACUUGGUAACAGAGGGAAUAAAAAACAUAUGAUUAUUAUCAAUAUGCUCCAAUACUUGGUAACAGAGGGAAUGAAAAACAUAGUAAAAUUGAAGAAAGCAAUAACAACAAACAAGAAGGUUUAUCAUCUUAAUUAAUCCUCAUUAUAAAGGAUCAAUCAUAUGAUUAACUGAUACUACUAAUCAUCUGCCAUUUUGAUUGAAGGGUCUUGAUAAGAUCAUCCAGAGCUUUAACAGAAGAUCCUUUGUCUUCUCCUUCAUCUCUCACUGAUGCCCUCAACUGUUCUUUAAUCACCAUUGCCUUGCUCCUCAUAUCACCUCCCUUACCUUUCUUGUCCAUCACCAACUCUAUCACUUUCUUCACCUCCUUCCAUUCUAUGCUGCUCUGCACUCCUCUUGUCAGCUCCACACUCACACCCAUCUCCUCUACCAGCAUUUUGGAAUUAUAGGCCUGUUCAGCGGCCAAAGGCCAUCCUAUAAUUGGCACAGCUUGGCUCAAGCUUUCCAACACUGAAUUCCACCCACAGUGGCUUAGGAAUGCUCCUGUGGACUUGUGUGACAAAAUCUCCAAUUGGGGCGCCCAGUUCCUCACCAACAAACCUUGUUUUCUUUUCUCCAUUCUUUCUUCAAAUCCUUCUGGCAAGUAUUCUGCUCUAAAUUCACUUUUUCGUUCAAAACCAACAGGAGGCCUGAUGACCCAGAUGAAAGGUUUCGCACUCUCUUCCAAGCCAAUAGCUAACUCCAUCAUCUGGGAGGGACUUAUGCUGUUUUGAGAACCAAAAGAAAUAUAGAGCACCGAAGCUGGACUGUGCGAUUCAAGCCAUUCCAUGCAUUUCUCAACAGAAAUCUCUGGUCUUUUACCAGCACGUCUUGUGCUUAUUCCUGAUGCAGCUACAGAUAAAGAAGAACAAUCAUUCUUGAGCACAAUUGGUGGCAGAAGAGGCCCUAUAGCCCAGACAGGAAGUUUGACAAAGUUCCUCAACCAUUCCAAUCCUGCAGGCUCAAAUUCCUCAGCUGUAUUGCACAACCACCCAAAAGAUUGCAUUGAAAGUGAGAUCUGUGACUGAAAAAACUCAGACCAAGAAUCAGUGCCAUCAGCAUUUCUUAAGAAAUGAUGCAACUGAUUGACGUGAAAGCGACAGCUAUCAGGAAAUCCCGGCAAAUGAAACUCAUCAGAAUCACUUCUACCUCGAUGAGGAAGAUUGAGCCAAAGAGAUGAGGAAGCCAAGGUUCCAUAAGCACCACCUGUACAGAAAGUGACAUUCACAGUCCCCAGACUGUUCGCAACUUCAGUUGCCCAUCCAAGGAAAACAUCCGAUAUUAUACAAAGUGGGGGGUGACCUUGUUUAGCUGCAAUAUCAGAUACAAGGCUGUGAAAUGGUUUCCUAAGACUUAGUGAUGCAGAUAAAAGUUUGCCAAUCGAAUCCAGAGACAAGUUCUCGGAGUUUUCAGUGUUUGGAGGCAAGCCAUAAUCAGUACUGCAAAAAGGUAGCUCAAGGAGGUGGAUAUGGUCAUUUUCUGGUUCAUCGGACGAGGAGUUGAAGGUGGAAGAAAGGUACUGGAUGUUAAGAGGGGUGCUUGCAAUGGAUAUUUUGAAACCAGUUGCUCGAUGGAUUUGUCUUGCAAGAGCAAGAAAAGGUAUGAGAUGGCCAUGCGCCAUAAACGGGAGCAUCACUAUCUGUUCAAUAGAUUUAGACGCCAUUAAUAAUUUUGUCGAGGUUUGUGCUCAAACUGAAUUUGGCUCAAGAACUGGAUCUACACUGAGAUGGGAGAAGAGUGGUGGCCUCCUUAUAAAGGACCGUUGAAGGAAAGUGAUGGUUGUAAUUAGAGGUGCUGUUUAAAAGAAAUUAACUUAAAAAACUAAAUCGAGAUACUGAUUUAAAAACUAGAAAAAUCACUUGAUCCAGUUCUAUUUUAAUUUCAAAAAUCAAAAAAUAAUUGAAUGGGUUCAACUUAAUUUAAUUUCAUUAAAAAAAAUAAAUAUAAAUAGAACCUCACCCUAAAAUACAUUUUCUAAUAAUUUUGGGACAACUAGGUGCCACGUGGGAUCUCAUAUUGGUGGGAAAGACGACGAAAUUUUAAAAUAUAAAAACAAACGUGCAAGUCUCAAUGUAGGGAUACCAACCUGAGGAGUCAAAAAGUGUCCAGUUCCAAGUAAAUGUACGUCAAAUCAUCCAUCCAGGCUAAGCCCCGUACCAAACACCUUUCAAUAAAAUUGUCAAGCAGCUAAUGUGUCUUUAUCUUAUUUUUAUAUUAUUUGCUUUCUAUUUGUGAAUUCCAUGCUUCUUUUAUAACAUCUAAGAAUGGUGUGAAUUAAGUCUUAAUUGAACAUAGAAUACUUUAAAAAUUAAUCCUUAUAAUUCUUAAAAAUUUGGCAAUAAAUAUCAUGUAUGAAAGCCAAAAAUUAAAUAAGAUAAAGAUCAAGAUAUACACAUCAAAUUUAUAGUGGCUCGAACAAUCGUCAACUUCACUUUUUAAACCACCAUUCAAAAAUUUAAUAUCAAGAUCUUCUUAACGGAUAAAAUCUUACUGAUACACUAAUCUUUUUAAAAUAUUAAAAUUAAAAAAACCCUUCACUCACAAAUCUUUUUAAAUUUUUUCACGUCAACUAUUAUAUGUGAAAAAUCAAUACAUGGCCAUUACACAUACUAAUAAAAAUAGAGUUAGUCGAGGUGCGUGCAAGCUGGUCCGGACACCCACGUUAAUAAAAAAAAUAAAAAUAAAAUGGAGUUAGAUGUUUUGAACUUUCAAAGUGUUUUUCAAUUUUAUUAAAAAUGGCUAUAACCUAUUUUUGGAAGAAAAAAAAAGUUAUUACAAGAUUCAUGUGUGUAAAAUAAGUUUAUCACUCGGUUAAAAAAGGACAAUAGACUUUUAGUGUGAUCAAAGUUUGAAAAAUCAUUUGACCAAGUUUAUGUUAUCCAUUUAAAAGGAUUUUGAGUGAUAAUACCAAAAUAUAUAAUAAUAAAAAAAUUUAUGAGGUGUUUUUCACUAUAUAUUAAUUUCAGAAAUGAAAUUAAUUUUUUGGAUAGUAAAUUCAGCAAUGAAAAAUUAUUUUUGUGAUGCCAAAUUAAAUCCUAUAAGGAUUUGAUGACAUGAAAUUAUAUUUAAGUAUCUUCAAGUCAAGUUUGCGUCCAACAAGUCCAUAUUGCUUCCAUUUGAUAUAGAAAAAUUUCUACAACAUUCAAGCUUUUGACAUACAUAUUAAAUUCACUAAAGCAUCAUUAAUCCAUAGGUGUUAAAGACCCUUAGGCUAACAAUCUGUUUUUUUUUUUUUUUUUUUUUUUUUUUUUUUUUAUGAAGAAAUAAAUUGUGCAAUAAGAAAAUAAAGAUGAUAUUAUCCAAUAAUAUACACCUCCAAUCCCAAACAAGAUGUAUCUCAAAUAUUUGAAGCUCCCCUACCAAUGUGCAUUGUUUGGUAAAAGUUGAUUUAACUUUAAUCUUGAAACAAUAUGUAUCUCCUUGAGAAAAUGAUUUUAUAGGUCCCUAAAUCAACACAAUCUCUUUCCACAUAUGCUUGUUUUGUUUGAGAUAUCAUCUGCAAUCGAUGCUUACUCUUCUCUGGUAACAACCAUGUUAUGUGCAGAAGGGUCCUUGCCUCUUCCUUGGUCUAUCAGGAUGAAAAUUGCUCUUGGAGCUGCGCAAGGUCUUGCUUUCCUUCAUGAGGAGGCUGACAGACCAGCAAUAUAUCGUGAUUUUAAAACAUCUAAUAUAUUAUUAGACGCGGUAUGUGCUUAAUAUAUGCAUGUAUUGGAAAUUACUUCACUAAUCAUUUCCUCUUUUCAGUCCCUCUGAAUUCUGAUACAAGACAAUACUGUUUUAGGACUACAAUUCCAAACUUUCUGAUUUUGGACUUGCCAAGGAUGCUCCUGAUGGAGGCAAAACUCAUGUGUCUACCAGAGUUAUGGGAACCUAUGGCUAUGCUGCCCCAGAAUAUGUGAUGACUGGUGAGUGGACUUUAACUCCUUUCCCUCUACGUGUUAUGUAUAGAUGUAUGGAUACCUUUGAAUGAACGAUAGGAAUUGCCUGUUAGUUGUUGAAUUUCCUUGCAAUGGAUAAGGAGGCAGUCAGUCAAUCAUGUUAAAAAUUGAAUGUUCUAAAUUGUCUGAGGUAAGGAUUUAAACUGCAGCAUUUAGUGUUUGCCUAUAUGAAUAGACUUGGUUAGGACAUGCUUAUUGGUGCAAAUGAACAGAACAAUUGGCGCAACUUUUCAGGCCUGACUGUGUGUGUGUGUAUAUAUAUAUAUAUAUAUAUAUAUAUAUAUAUAUAUAUAAAGGAUUAAAUGCAAUUCAUUUUCAGCCUCAGGAAAUUGGAGUCAAAGAUGACCUUAUAUCUGUUCGGCUCAUUCUACUGCUACAAUAUUCACAACACCACCAUACGCUAGUAUAUGGGUGAAAGGAAAAUCAUGUUCCAUGGCAUUGUGUGAUACUUGUGGGUUUGAAGAUGCCACAAAUCUUAUAUCACUGAGAGGGUAGAGGGGAGAAUGGAGAUCUUUCUAUGAAAGAUAACUCCCUGCAAUUUCGUGGACUUCAGAGCAUGAUUGUAGUGGUCCUCACCUUGUCUGCUACCACCCAAUCUUGCUGGUCUGCCAUGGCAUCAUAUUUCCAAUCUUUAAUUGCCUUCUUCAUCCUAUUCUGAACUUGCUUUGAUGCAAAUGGUUUUCUUUAUCGGAGUUGAUGGAAAAUGGAAAUUCAUAUGUAUCUUGAAGAGGGAAGAGCCAGGCAACAUACGCACACACAUUCUUCCAACGAAAAAAUAUUCAUCUUGGUGCUGAGGCCGGAACCGUGAAGGUUUGGAGGGGAUUUUGCACCCAUCGAGGCUGAGGCCGGCGCUAUUUUCAAGAGUCUAGCUAGUGAAUUCAGACACUGGCACCAUUUUUAGAAGUCUGAUAAUGAAUUCUGACAGUCCGUGUGGGCCGCUGCCUGCAAUAGCUAGUCCCACAAGCUAGUCCGUGUGGGCCGCUGCCUGCAAUAGCUAGUCCGUGUGGGCCGCUAUGGUUGCUUUCUCAUUUAAGUAAAUAAUUUUUUAUUUAUUUUGAAAAUUACAUUUAUGAAUCAAUCUAAUUUUUUAACUUAAACAAAAAAAAAUUAAAAUACUCGUAUAUAAUAUAUCAAAAACAUCAAUAUUAUAAUUUCUUUCUAAUUUUGAUUUCUUUCUCUUCAAAAUCCCUAAUAUUUUUUCUUAAUGAGUCUUCGUUUUCUGCUUUUGUUUUUUUUCAUUUUUUUCCCCAUAUGUUUACAAGAGAUGUUUGUGCAUAUGUGGUUGUAAAAAUGCUAAAACGAAAGGACUUGGGGGCAGUGUCGGCAGAUGAAGCAGAAUCCAGUUGUCGGUGGAAGAAAUCGUGUCUGCUUUCUCGUGUACGUGAAUAGCUACCAUGCCGGGAUGACAAUCCAAACUUUUUGACGGGUUAACCGGUUAACUCAACAUUAUUUGAUUGGUUGUUGGAUUAAUUCGGGUAAAGCAAAAAAAUUAAGAUAUAAGUAAAAACCUAGCAAAACCCGGUUGACCCAUAGGGUUGACCUAUGACCCAAAUACUCAGUAAAAUUUGGUUGAGACUUGUUUUUUUUUCAAAUAUAUUUUUUCUUCCAGUAAGAGCUUCUUUAUUUAUAUAUAUAUAUAUAUAUUAGUUGGUUAUUAAAUCUUUUUAAAGUUCACUAUAUAAAUACUAGAAGAAUAUUUUAUUUUUUCAAUUUGAGAUUUAAAGUCUUUUAGUAUUAUAUUUUAUAUUCACAAGAAAAAAAAUAUUUUUUCAAUGUGAGAUUUCAAACUUUUUAGUGUAUAUAUAUAUAUAUAUAUAUAUAUAUACUCUGUGCUCAUAAGAAAAAAGUUAUGUUUUUUUAGUGUGAGAUAAAAAACUUUUUUGUUUGAAUACUUCAAUUUAAAAGAAUAAUAUACUAAUAUAAUAUCUUUUCACCGUGGAAUAAAAUUUUUUUUGAAAUAAUAUUUUAAAUUUCAUUAUUUAUAACAUGUAUAGCCUAUAUUCACAUGUAUUUUUUUUUUAAUUUUUUCAUAUGAAAUAUUACAACUUCAAAUAUUAUUUUAAAUUUUUUCAGGUUGAUCCAGAUGAACCCGUGUAACUCGAAACCCGACUUAACUCCUAAAUCAGGUCUAAUAACCAUGAUAUAAAGAGUUGCAAAAUUAUAAACUUCAUGACGUCAAUUAUAAUUUCUAGAAGAAGCAAAGCAAAAAAAUAAGCAAAUAUAAUCAUGUAAAUAAUUUAAAUUUUUUUGUUUAUUUUUUUUAUAUAUCAACUUGAAGAUAUAAAGGGUUAUAAACCUAUAAUUGUAAUUUCCAAAACAAGAAAAAAAAAGGCGCAAACUAUAGAAACUGAUUGUAAUUAACCUUAAAUUUAUUUAUAUCAUUUUUAAUCUUUUUAUUACAAUCCAAUUAUUAUGAAUAUUCUAGACUUCCCCUCUCACAGAGUAAUUAAUUAGUACAAGAUUACAAAUUGAAAUCCUUACGAAGUAAAACUGAAGCAAGCAAUAACAACAAACAAGAAGGUUUGUCAUCUUAAUUAAUCCUCAUUACAAAGGAUCAAUCAUAUGAUUAACUGAUACUACUAAUCAUCUGCCAUUUUGAUUGAAGGGUCUUGAUAAGAUCAUCCAGAGCUUAAACAGAAGAUCCUUUGUCUUCUCCUUCAUCUCUCACUGAUGCCCUUAACUGUUCUUUAAUCACCAUUGCCUUGCUCCUCAUAUCACCUCCCUUCCCUUUCUUGUCCAUCACCAACUCUAUCACUUUCUUCACCACCUUCCAAUCUAUGCUGCUCUGCAGUCCUCUUGUCAGCUCCACACUCACACCCAUCUCCUCUACCAGCAUUUUGGAAUUAUAGGCCUGUUCAGCGGCCAAAGGCCAUCCUAUAAUUGGCACAGCUUGGCUCAAGCUUUCCAACACUGAAUUCCACCCACAGUGGCUUAGGAAUGCUCCUGUGGACUUGUGUGACAAAAUCUCCAAUUGGGGCGCCCAGUUCCUCACCAACAAACCUUGUUUUCUUUUCUCCAUUCUUUCUUCAAAUCCUUCUGGCAAGUAUUCUGCUCUAAAUUCACUUUUUGGUUCAAAACCAACAGGAGGCCUGAGACCCAGAUGAAAGGUUUCGCACUCUCUUCCAAGCCAAUAGCUAACUCCAUCAUCUGGGAGGGACUUAUGCUGUUUUGAGAACCAAAAGAAAUAUAGAGCACCGAAGCUGGACUGUGCGAUUCAAGCCAUUCCAUGCAUUUCUCAACAGAAAUCUCUGGUCUUUUACUAGCAUGUCUUGUGCUUAUACCUGAUGCAGCUACAGAUAAAGAAGAAUAAUCAUUCUUGAGCACAAUUGGUGGCAGAAGAGGCCCUAUAGCCCAGACAGGAAGUUUGACAAAGUUCCUCAACCAUUCCAAUCCUGCAGGCUCAAAUUCCUCAGCUGUAUUGCACAACCACCCAAAAGAUUGCAUUGAAAGUGAGAUCUGUGACUGAAAAAACUUAGACCAAGAAUCAGUGCCAUCAGCAUUUCUUAAGAAAUGAUGCAACUGAUUGAUGUGAAAGCGACAGCUAUCAGGAAAUCCCGGCAAAUGAAACUCAUCAGAAUCACUUCUACCUCGAUGAGGAAGAUUGAGCCAAAGAGAUGAGUAAGCCAAGGUUCCAUAAGCACCACCUGUAGAGAAAGUGACAUGAAGUGUUUAAAAGAAAAGUGUUUAAGAGAUGAAAUGAAGAUAGGAAGAAUAGAAGAGACUGUAAAGAUUGAAUUCUUUAUUUAUCCAGAAUGAAUAAUACUGAUUGCAUCUUUCCAUGCAAUCGUUACACAUAUAUAUUCAAAAAUAAAAAAACAGAAUACCAAACUUAUAGCAUGAAAUCAUGCUAUGAUCUGUUAACAUAAUAACAGAAUAACUAAUUCCUAGAGACUAGGAUAAUAGCUUAUUAUUAGCAUGAUAAUUAGAAAUAACAGAAACAAAAAGAUUUGUUGACAGCUCCUUCUUUGACAGCUCCAGGAAGCAAUCUUCAACACUCCUCCUUGCUUGAGGAGCUGCAAACUCCAAUCUUUUGUCUUAAAAAUUCAAACCUGUUUACUGGAAGUGGUUUAGUAAACAGAUCAGCCAAUUGAUUUUCAGACUUGCAAUAAAUCAAUUUAACUUCACCAUUUUUUUGCACCUCACGCAAGAAAUACAGCUUGAUGUUAAAAUGUUUAGUUUUUCCAUGAAACACUGGAUUAUAAGAUAUUGCAAUAGCUCCUUGAUUGUCAACUGAGAUUUCAGUUGCUUCUUCUUCUUCCAUGUAUAAAUCUCGUAACAACUUUUGUAACCACAAUGCUUGAUUCACUGCAGCUGUGGCUGCAAUGAACUCUGCCUCUACAGUAGAUUGAGCCACGAUAUCUUGCUUCUUAGAUGACCAUGAAAAUAUAGCAGAUCCUAGAUUAAAACAGAAUCCAGAGGUACUUCUCAUGUCAUCAAUAGAGUCACCCCAAUCACUGUCAGAAAAACCAUGUAGUUUUAAAUCUUGACACUUCAAAAAUUUAACACCAAAACUGCAUGUUCCUUUGAUGUAUCUCAGAAUUCUUUUAGCUGCUCUCAUAUGAAUUUCGGUUGGACAAUGCAUAAACCGAGAUAGAAUACUUGUUGCAUGAAGUAUGUCAGGUCGAGUUGCUGUUAAAUACAUCAAGCAUCCAAUUAAGCUUCUGAAUUUUUCUUCAUCUACUCUAGCAGUGCCAUCUUCUUUGCUAAACUUGUCCUUUUGAUUCAUAGGAGUAGCUGUUGGCUUGCAAUUAUCCAUCUGGAAUUUCUUCAGGAUUUCCCUUGAAUACUUCUUCUGGCAAAUGAAUAUUUCUUCUCUGUUUUGCAUAAUUUCCAUUCCCAGAAAGAAACUCAUGAGACCAAAGUCGGUCAUUUCAAAGACUUGCAUCAUAUUUAGCUUGAAUUCUGCAACCUGCACUGUAUUGCUUCCUGUCACUAAGAGAUCAUCAACAUAAAGAGAUAUUAUAAGCACAUCAUCGUUGAUUCUCUUCACAUAAAGAGUUGCUUCUGACAAACUCUUCUAAAAUCCAGAACCUGUCAAAUAGUCAUCAAUUCUGCCAUACCAAGCUCUAGGUGCUUGUUUUAAUCCAUAGAGAGCUUUCUUUAGUAGAUAAACUUUGUCUUCUUUUCCUUGAGUCACAAAACCAGCUGGUUGCUCAACAUAAAUUUCUUCUUGUAGAAUGCCAUUCAGGAAAGCUGAUUUAACAUCUAACUGGAAAACUUUCCAGUUCCUGUGUGCAGCAACAGCAAACAAGAAUCGUAUGGUGUCCAUCCUUGCUACAGGUGCAAAUGUGUCUGAAUAAUCAACACCAUAAAUUUGAGCAUAACCCUUAACAACCAGCCUGGCUUUAUACUUGUUGAUGGUACUGUCUGCAUUCAGUUUAGUUCUGAAAAUCCACUUCACGCCAAUAACAUUUUUGCUUGGUGGUCUGUCAACAAGUUCCCAUGUGCAAUUCUUCUCAAUCAUGCAUAUCUCCUCCUGCAUUGCCUUUAGCCAUUCUGGAUUGUGUUUGGCUUCUUCAUAGCCUUCUGGUUCACAAAUAGCUACAUUGCUCCUUUGAUAAAUAUCAUCAAGGGAUCGAGUGCCUCUAAUUGGUGAAUCAUCAAAUGAUUCAUCCUGCAACAAAUCUGACAGCUGCACAUUUCUUUGUGUGUCUCCCCAAUCCCAUUGUUUUUCUUCAUGGAAAUGAACAUCCCUUGUAAUAACCAUCUUCUGAGUUUGAGGAUGAUAAACUUUGUAGGCUUUAGACACAUCACUGUAGCCAACAAAAAUUCCUGGCAUUGCCUUCCUGUCAAGCUUGUCUCUUUUGACCUGUGGAACAUGAACAAAACAAAUGCUGCCAAAGAUCUUAAGAAAACUUAAUGAAGGUUUGUUGUCAUACCAAACUUCAAAAGGAGUCUUCUCUUCCAGUAAUUUUGUUGGAAGUCGGUUUUGAAGGAAGACAGCUGUGUUGGCUGCUUCUGCCCAAAAGAUCUUUUGCAAAUUCUUUUCAUAUAGUAUGCAUCUCACCAUCUCCAUAAUGUAUCGAUUUCUUCUUUCACUGACUCCAUUCUGUUCAGGAGUGUAAGGGGCAGUGAAUUGAUGUUCAAUGCCAGCUUCUUCACAGUAGAGAUUGAAUUCUGAUGAGGUGUAUUCUGUACCAUUGUCUGACCGAAUGGAUUGAAUUUUACAUCUGCUUUUAUUCUCCACAUUCUUCUUGAAUUGCCAAAAAAUCCCAGCUACUUCUGACUUGUAUUUCAUGAAGAAGAUCCAACACAUUCUGGUGAAGUCAUCAAUAAAAAGUAUGUAAUAUCGACUACCUUUUAUUGAAGGUGUGCUAAGUGGACCAGCAACAUCUGUAUGGAUCAACUGAAGUUUCUGUGUAGAUCUCCAUGUUGACUUUGGAAAUGGUUUUCUGUUUUGCUUACCGAAUUGACAAGCAUUACAAUUUGGCAGCAAAUCAGUAAAUGAAGGCACUCCUCUUACAGCUUCAUGCUUCUUCAUCCGCUGUUGAUGACAGUGACCCAACCUUUUAUGCCAUACUUCCAUGUCAUUCAGUUUUGUGGGAAAGGCUGUGUGCUCCUCCUCAAAUGGUAAAAAUGAAAAACCUUUUCCUCUCAUUUUGGCUUGCAAUAUUUUUUGUCCAGCAGCGUCAAAAAUAUAGCAAGAUUGAUUUUCGAAAACCACUUUCAUGCCUUUCUCCAUUAAUUGUCCAACACUCAACAAAUUUUGAUCUAUAUCAGGUACAUAAAGAACAUCAGAAAUAGUUUUUGUACCUGAGUUGGUAGUGAUGGCAACCGUUCCUUUUCCCUUUGCUGCUAUACAAUCACCAUUUCCAAUUCUGACCUUUGCAACUUCAGUAGUUUGCAAAUUUCUGAAGAGACUCUUAUCAAAAGUCAUGUGAUUUGUGCAUCCACUGUCAAUUAGCCAGUGAUCUGAGGAAGUCUGGACUGAAAAACAUGUAGCUACAAACAGUUGAUCUUCAUCAUCUUGACUGGCAACCUGAGCAUCUUCAUUCUGCUGUUUCUGAAACUUUGUUCUGCAGAUGAUUGCUUCAUGUCCCAUUUGAUGACAUUUACUGCAUUUUGCAUCAGGUCUUUUCCAGCACUUGAAUGGUGGAUGACCUAACUUGUUGCAGUGUUGACAUGGUGGAAAGUUUCUUUUAAGAAAUUUUCCUCUGUUCUGGAAUUGAUUGACAGUAGUCUUACUACUGUUUGAAACCUGAUUCUGCUUGAAGAAUUUCUUCUUGUCAGAAUCGGGAUACUUUGCUUGUAAAGCUCCUUCAGUAACUCGAUCUUGCCUCAUAAGUCGCCUUUGCUCUUGAGCCUGCAAGGCAUUUAUCAAUUCUGCCAAGGUAAUCUUGGACAGAUCCUUUGUAUUCUCCAAGGUGGUUAUGGAUGCUUCAUAACGUUCAGGCACAGUUACAAGUAUUUUCUCUACAAUUCUGCAAUCAGAGAAGGUUGUGCCAAGUAAUCUUACCUUGUUGACAAUUCCAAGUAAUUUGUCUGAAUACUCUUUGAUGGUUUCAGAAUCCUUCAUUCUUUGUAGUUCAAAUUCUCUUAUUAGAUUAAGACUUUGCAUGCCACGAAUUCUUUCAUCUCCAGCAUACUCCUUCUUCAAAUAAUCCCAAACAUCUUUUGCUGAUUUAAGAGACAUAAUCCUGGUGAAGAUUGUUGUGGAAACAACUGCAAAUAGACAAGCUUUUGCUUUUGAUUUCCUUGUUUUUCUCUCUUUAUGAUUUUUUAUCUGAGCAACUGUUGGAUUAUUUGGCAAAGGAUGAACUUCAUAGUCUUCUUCAACAGCUUCCCAAAGAUCCAACACCUCCAAAUAAGUCUCCAUUUUUACUGCCCAGAGUUGAUAAUUUUCUCCAUCAAAGAUGGGAGAAGAAAUUUGAGAGAAACUUGUUUCAGCCUCCAUUACAGGUCCCUUUAAGAUAAUUGCUCUGAUACCAAUUGAAAGUGUUUAAAAGAAAAGUGUUUAAGAGAUGAAAUGAAGAUAGGAAGAAUAGAAGAGACUGUAAAGAUUGAAUUCUUUAUUUAUCCAGAAUGAAUAAUACUGAUUGCAUCUUUCCAUGCAAUCGUUACACAUAUAUAUUCAAAAAUAAAAAAACAGAAUACCAAACUUAUAGCAUGAAAUCAUGCUAUGAUCUGUUAACAUAAUAACAGAAUAACUAAUUCCUAGAGACUAGGAUAAUAGCUUAUUAUUAGCAUGAUAAUUAGAAAUAACAGAAACAAAAAGAUUUGUUGACAGCUCCUUCUUUGACAGCUCCAGGAAGCAAUCUUCAACACAUUCACAGUCCCCAGACAGCUCGCAACUUCAGUUGCCCAUCCAAGGAAAACAUCUGAUAUUAUACAAAGUGGGGGGUGACCUUGUUUAGCUGCAAUAUCAGAUACAAGGCUGUGAAAUGGUUUCUUAAGACUUAGCGAUGGAGAGAAAAGUUUGCCAAUCGAAUCCAGAGACAAGUUCUCGGAGUUUUCAGUGUUUGGAGGCAAGCCAUAAUCAGUACUGCAAAAAGGUAGCUCAAGGAGGUGGAUAUGGUCAUUUUCUGGUUCAUCGGAGGAGGAGUUGAAGGUGGAAGAAAGGUACUGGAUGUUGAGAGGGGUGCUUGCAAUGGAUAUUUUGAAACCAGUUGCUUGAUGGAUCUGUCUUGCAAGAGCAAGAAAAGGUAUGAGAUGGCCAUGCGCCAUAAACGGGAGCAUCACUAUCUGUUCAAUAGAUUUAGACGCCAUUAAUAAUUUUGUCGAGGUUUGUGCUCAAACUGAAUUUGGCUCAAGAACUGGAUCUACACUGAGAUGGGAGAAGAGUGCUGGCCUCCUUACAAAGGACCGUUGAAGGAAAGUUGUUCUUAAUUUAUUUAGGCAUUAAAGUGAUGGAUUGGUUGUCAUUAGAGGUGCUGUUUAAAAGAAAUUAACUUAAAAAACUAAAUUGAGAUACUGAUUCAAGAACUAGAAAAAUCACGUAGUCCGGUUUUAUUUUAAUUUCAAAAAUCUAAAAAUGAUUGAAUGAGUUCAACUCAAUUUAAUUUCAUUAAAAAUAUAAAUAGAACCUAACCCUAAAAUACUUUUUCUAAUAAAUUUGGGACAACUAGGUGCCACGUGGGUCUCAUAUUGGUGGGAAAGACGACGAAAUUCCCCGACAUAGAGGAUAAUGUCGUAAAGAUGAUGCAGUCCAAUGCAUCGGUAAUGCACACAUUUGAUCCCUGUUUUGUAUCCUUUCCUUUAAAUCCAAGCCUUCUUCAAACACUAUACAAAGAUUGGACAUAUGAUGAGGACAACCACUGAGGAGCUCGUGCGUCUCCAUAUAACCAGCCUCGGCAGUCACCAAAACCUAGAGGGAAAAACCAGUGUUAUUAAACCCGGCCCGGCGGGUUGAUCCGGGACCCGUUUGAUCUGGUGGCUGAACCGAUCUCGGUUUACUAAAAGACCAGCUGGGGCAAUAGCCUGGUCAAACCUGGGCGAACCGGCGGGUCGACCCAUGACCCGGGCGAACCCGGACGAGACCCAGUUUUUUUUCCCUUCAAAUAUGGGAUUUGAAACCCAUUAGUAUAUAACUAUAUAUACUCUAUGUUCUCAAGAAAAAAGUCAUGUUUUUUCAAUGUGGGAUAAAAAACUUUUUGGUUUAAAUACUUCAACUUAAAAGGAUAACAAAUAUCUUUUCAAUGUGGGAUUUGAAGCCCUUUCGCAUAUAUACUCUAUGUUCCCAUGAAAAAAGUUAUGUUUUUUCAAUGUAGGAUUUGAAACCUGUUAGUAUAUAUACUCUAUGUUUUCAAGAAAAAAAUCAUGUUUUUUCAAUAUGGGAUAAAAAACCUUUUGGUUUAAAUACUUCAACUUAAAAUGAUAACAUAGUAUCUUCUCAAUAUGAGAUUUGAAGUCCUUUCGUAUAUAUAUUUUAUGUUCCCAUGAAAGAAGUUAUAUUUUUUCAAUGUGGGAUUUGAAACUUAUUAGUAUAUAUACUCUAUGUUCCCAAGAAAAAAAUUAUGUUUUUUCGAUGUGGGAUUAAAAACUUUUUUAGUUUAAAUACUUCAACUUAAAAGCUUAACACAAUAUCUUUUUAAUGUGGGAUAAAAAACUUUUUAAAAUAUUCUUUUAAAUUUCAUUGUUUACAAUAUGUAUAACCUAUAUUUACAUUAAUUUUUUCAUAUGAAAUAUUAAAACUUUAAUUUUUUUUUUAAUUUUUAUGGGUUGAUCCGGGUUGACCCGAGUUGACCCAUGAAACCCGGGACCCGGCCCCUGGCCAGGUUUGAUAACUAUGGGAAAAACCUAUAGAAAUUAUUUGGAAGUGUGGUUGCGGUUGUUUUUUAAAGUUUUUUUCAUGCUGAAAUGCAUUAAAAUGAUAUUUUUUUUAUUUUAAAAAAAUUAUUUUUGAGAUUAACGCAUCAAAAUAAUCCAAAAUAUAUCUAAAAAAAUUAAAUUUUUUUAAAAUAUAAAUUGACUCGCAUUUGCAAACAUAGCUUUUUGGCAGUGGCUUCAGCAGUUUGAAAUAGCACUGAGGUUUGUUCCAUCAUUAGUCUGAGAAGUGACGUCUGGUCAUUUGUUAUUCAUCCACCAUGUUCAAUCAGUAAAAUGAUGGAACGAGCCUCCUGCUUUAUGUGGUGGCUUGUGAUUGGUAAUCAUCGAAAUGCAUCUAUUCUCUAUUCUUACCUCUCUAAUGCAUCGACUCUUGAGUAGGAAAUUAUACACUGGACACUGGAAAGAUACUGAAGUCAAGUGGUGAUGCAGAGGGAGGUGGGGGUGUGAACAGAUGUUAGUAAGCUUGAUUGUAAAUUGAAGAGAAAGGAAGUGUGAG